rnacentral:sRNA from 1 species
AUUUGUAUGAAAAAAUAUUUUAAAAAUAAUUUGUGUAAAAAUUUAGUAAUUAAAUAAUAUUCUAGUGUGUAACUUAAACCUUUCAACGGAAAAGAAUAAAUAAAAUUUUUAAUAAAUAAAAUUUGUCCUCCAAAACCCAAAACGAGUGUUGAAAGUUUUGUGCAUUAAGCCAAACGUGGAAACAAAACCCCUCUCCAUUGCCAUUCUCAGUGAAAUUUAAUCCUUUUUUUGCUUUUGUUCAACAAAAAAAAAAAGAAAGAAAUCAGUUCAGAUGGUUAUGCAGCCAGAGCAGCAGCAAUAUAAGAAAUUGUCUUAUUCGUCGUCCUCGUCCUCGUAGUCGUCGUCGUCGUCAUCGUAAUCAUCAUCACCAUCAUUAUCAACAACACAACGUCGCAUAUUCCAGAGCUGCAAAAAUAAUUGUCUAUGCGAAACAUCAUCUUAUGUAAUUUAUCUCUUCGUCAUUUUAUAUGAUUUUUGUACAAUACGUUGUAGGUUAUGGCUUCAACUGAAGUGGGAAUACGACGAACAAAUUAUUUAAAAAUU